CUGAGAGUUAUGAUUUUGAGUAGCUUUGACUCAUAUUUGCAUAAAUAGUUCCCGAACUCAAAAAUGAGUUCACCGUGAAAAUUUCCAGAAGUCCAACGGUCGCUGGUAGAUCUUCAUAUUAUUUAUCCAUUUCUCGUUCCAGCUUUAUACGACGAGGACGAGGACAAGUGCACGCUCGAAACAACGUUUGGAAAUACCCCAGAAAAAACUGAGCUUUGAAGAGCAUUACCAAGAUGUUAGAACAGUGUACAUCAGUUUUCAAGACUUCGUCAUUGCCCUCGUGAAUUUCUUCUGCUGUGUAAUUACCAGUUGUGGUCAGAUUCAACAAUAUAGAUGAGAUCUUAUACCAGACGAGCUCCCAGACGUACCAUCACAAGCGACCGCCGGAGAUAUUUGAGGACCGCUAUUUAUUAUUAUAAAACAAUAGUUUAAAAAUGUAUUAUUAUAAAAGAGGAUAUGAACUAGAGAAAAAGUUCGUUCCUGGGGUACAUACUUGGGCACAUAAGUUUGCAAUGUAAUUCCUAUUGUAGCUAUUACAAAUCAGCAACAGAUGUUCCUACCCAGGAUCCGACCUUUCUCUGUAGUUUAUAACCUCUCAUUAUACUAAGCUGUAAUAAAUGUUAAAUUGUUUUAUGAAUCUAAUUCGAAUAGCUUUUCUUUAUACUGCGCCUGAUUGUUUUUAUUAGAUUUGACAAACUCAAAAUUCUAAAUAUUUGAUUUUAUG